rnacentral:rRNA from 1 species
CCUACGGGCGGCAGCAGUGAGGAAUAUUGGUCAAUGGACGCUAGCCUGAACCAGCCAAGUAGCGUGAAGGAUGACUGCCCUAUGGGUUGUAAACUUCUUUUAUAUGGGAAUAAAACGCGGCAUGUAUGCCUCUGUGCAUGUACCUUAUGAAUAAGGAUCGGCUAACUCCGUGCCAGCAGCCGCGGUAAUACGGAGGAUCCGAGCGUUAUCCGGAUUUAUUGGGUUUAAAGGGAGCGUAGGUGGGGUGUUAAGUCAGUUGUGAAAGUUUGCGGCUCAACCGUAAAAUUGCAGUUGAUACUGGCAGCCUUGAGUACAGUUGAGGUAGGCGGAAUUCGUGGUGUAGCGGUGAAAUGCUUAGAUAUCACGAAGAACCCCGAUUGCGAAGGCAGCUUGCUAAACUGUAACUGACAUUGCUGCUCGAAAGUGUGGGUAUCAAACAGGAUUAGAUACCCCAGUAGUC